rnacentral:misc_RNA from 1 species
GUAAAAAGGACGGACAACUGGCUAGUUUUAGAUGAAGGAAGGAAUUCUCAUUACAAUGUAAAGUUCUGGUUUAUGCAACAAAAACAACAAAAAAAAACGCCACGUACUGCAUUCAAAUUGAGUUGAUUGUUUAGGUCUAUUACCGCUAACUUCUGCCACCAUUUUUUGUCUUGGUUCUGAAUCUAUUCCCAUUUUUUUUUAAUUUUAUGUCCCAUACUAUUCAUAGCCCUUUUAGCUGGAGGCCAUGAUUACGCACCGUGGCAUACUACUCUGUUCCGGAGGCGGUUGGCUGGGGUCUUUUAAUCACGCCGUAGUGGUGAUGCUGAUGCGCGCGACCGUGCCGAAUACAGUAGACGUGUGUGUAGUCUUUUUCUUUUUCCGUGGUCCACCCACAGCCCAGCCUGGGAUUUCGUGUGGCGUAGCCCCAAAGACCGUGGGAUCCAUCCCAGCCCAACGAGUCUCCUCUCCUACCGGCACGGCAAAGGAACCAAUCAGGCUGGCGAUCCCCUCCUCCGUCCCUUCACACCCCACCUCCCAGCAGCGGCGCCUGUGUGUGUCCGUCCCUCCUCCCGUCGCAUGCCAUGAUUCACCUCACGCCAUUGAAGAAGAAAAAGGGAGAAGAGACGGACAGGAUAGAUACAGUCAGUCGCAGGCGGAAACGCGAAAGCGAAGCGACCGAGUGCUGCCGGCCCUCCCGCCUCCCGGUGGUGAGUGAGGUCACGGUCAAAGCGAGCCGCGCCCGGGCUGCAGCUGCAAAGGUGGUUGGCAGCAUCAAGAAAUGCCCUCCUCGAUCCCUACUGCCUCCGGCUUGGUCCCGCCGUGGAUGUGGAUGGAUGGCGUUGGCAUCGCAUCGGGGACAUUGGCAUGGCGCUGGGACACCCGCCCUCUGGACCACAUUGAC